ACCGAUAGGGGAAGGGACCGAGGUAACUCCGUGCCCGAAGAGGGGCCGCCUAGGGGGGACUCCCCUCCUCGCCACGCCCCCCCACUCACCACGAGCCCCGGACAGCAGCAGCAGCAGCGCCAGGAGCCCCCGGGCGCCGGGCGGGCAGCUCGGAGCCGAGACCAUGGCGGCGCCGGCAGGAGAAGUCACGGGACGGCGGAGCGGACCCAGGGCGAUGCCGCUUUAGAGACCCAACCUUUGGCUCUGACUCAGCAUCCGGCCCCGGCACCUGCCGGCAGUGAAAUUCUAGCACCCACUAGAUUUCAUAGCAUGGAGAAAUUGAACAUGACAACACGACGCAUGAGAGUCAACAACAUUGGAUUACUUCUACUACAGUAAAAGCCCAUUUCUGCUGGGUAAGUAUCUUCGCUUAUGAACUGCCAACACUGGAUAUUUUAUUCAAAUGACAUUGCAAACUGGGCUUCUGAAUAUAAAGCUUAUCUUAAACAAGCUACCUGCUUGAUGAUCAUGACAAAACGGAACAGGAUUGCAUGAUUAUAAACUUCACUUCAGUGGGAUAAAGUCCAAUAGUCCACACUAUUAAAUAAGGCUCCUUAAAAACACUCACUAGAAUGAAACAUUUAGUGAGAAAUGAGAAGGAAAGUUGGAAAUUCUAGAAGUCAGAAUGGAUUUCUGAAGAAUUUCGUUCUACAUAUUUAGGAGGGCUUUGUAUAAAUGAUUGUUUGUAGGUUGCUGCAGUCUAUUAGCUUAGUCAGGGCUUGGACAUCACUGGCUUUCCUUGUAUGGAUUCCAGGGAGUGUCAUACUAGAAAUCUCAUUCACCAUAUAAACAAUACUGGGCAGGUGCUUUUAUAAAUUCAGUUGUAAACCAUGUUUAUGUGGGAAGGCAAAUAUGCAAAUCUUUUCACAACAGUUGAGUAACCAAGUUAAUCAGUAAAAGGCAGACUUCACACAAUCCAACAUGUCAUUAGCAAAAUUAAUCUUUAAUUAAAAUAAAAAUUAGAUUAAAAAUAGACUAGAUAUUCGG
rnacentral:lncRNA from 1 species